rnacentral:rRNA from 1 species
CUCAAAGGAAUUGGCGGGGGUCCGCACAAGCGGUUGGAGCAUGUGGUUUAAUUCGAUGAUACGCGAGGAACCUUACCUGGGCUAGAAUGUUAGUGGACCGGUAGUGAAAGCUAUCUUUGUAGCAAUACACCGCUAAUAAGGUGCUGCAUGGCUGUCGUCAGCUCGUGCCGUGAGGUGUUGGGUUAAGUCCCGCAACGAGCGCAACCCCCAUCACUAGUUGCCAUCAGGUAACGCUGGGAACUCUAGUGAAACUGCCGUCGUAAGCCGCGAGGAAGGAGGGGAUGAUGUCAAGUCAUCAUGGCCUUUAUGCCCAGGGCUACACACGUGCUACAAUGGGGCGUACAAAGGGCUGCCACUUAGCGAUAAGGAGCCAAUCCCAAAAAACGCCUCUCAGUUCAGAUUGGAGUCUGCAACUCGACUCCAUGAAGCUGGAAUCGCUAGUAAUCGUAGAUCAGCAAUGCUACGGUGAAUACGUUCCCGGACCUUGCACACACCGCCCGUCAAGCCAUGGAAGCUGGGUGUACCUAAAGUCAGUAACCGAAAGGAGCUGCCUAGGGUAAAACUAGUAACUGGGGCUAAGUCGUAACAAGGUAGCCGUAUCGGAAGGUGUGGCUGGAUCACCUCCUU